AACACAAACGUUUGGGCCUGGUC
rnacentral:siRNA from 1 species